rnacentral:tRNA from 1 species
CCGGCCCUGGCUCAGCUGGUAAAGAAUCUGCCUGCAAUGCAGGAGACCUGGGUUCAAUCCCUGGGUUGGGA